rnacentral:rRNA from 1 species
ACUCAAAGGAAUUGACGGGGACCCGCACAAGCAGCGGAGCAUGUGGUUUAAUUCGAAGCAACGCGAAGAACCUUACCAGGUCUUGACAUCCCGGUGACCGGUAUAGAGAUAUACCUUUCCUUCGGGACACUGGAGACAGGUGGUGCAUGGUUGUCGUCAGCUCGUGUCGUGAGAUGUUGGGUUAAGUCCCGCAACGAGCGCAACCCCUAUAUUUAGUUGCCAUCAUUUCGGGUGGGCACUCUAGAUAGACUGCCGGGGAUAACUCGGAGGAAGGUGGGGACGACGUCAAAUCAUCAUGCCCCUUAUGAUCUGGGCUACACACGUGCUACAAUGGCCGGAAACAAAGGGUAGCGAAAUCGCAAGGUGGAGCCAAUCCUCUAAACCCGGUCCCAGUUCGGAUUGUGGGCUGCAACUCGCCCACAUGAAGUCGGAGUUGCUAGUAAUCGCGAAUCAGCACGUCGCGGUGAAUGCGUUCCCGGGUCUUGUACACACCGCCCGU